UAAUAAGCGGAGGAAAAGAAACUAACAAGGAUUCCCUGAGUAACGGCGAGUGAAGCGGGAAGAGCUCAAAUUUGAAAUCUGGUAGCCUUCGGUUGCCCGAGUUGUAAUCUAGAGAAGUGUUUUCCGUGCCGGCCCAUGUACAAGUCCCUUGGAACAGGGCGUCAUAGAGGGUGAGAAUCCCGUCCUUGACAUGGACCCCCGGUGCUUUGUGAUACACUUUCAACGAGUCGAGUUGUUUGGGAAUGCAGCUCAAAAUGGGUGGUGAAUUCCAUCUAAAGCUAAAUAUUGGCGAGAGACCGAUAGCGAACAAGUACCGUGAGGGAAAGAUGAAAAGCACUUUGGAAAGAGAGUUAAACAGUACGUGAAAUUGUUGAAAGGGAAACGAUUGAAGUCAGUCAUGCUCUUGGGACUUACCUCCCUUGAGUGGGGUCAACAUCAGUUUUGAUCGAUGGAUAAAGGCACGGGGAAGGUAGCACUCUCGGGUGAACUUAUAGCCUCGCGUCAUAUACAUUGAUUGGGACUGAGGAACGCAGCAUGCCUUAUGGCCGGGAUUCGUCCACGUACAUGCUUAGGAUGUUGACAUAAUGGCUUUAAACGACCCGUCUUGAA
rnacentral:rRNA from 1 species